AUGUCCGUCUGCUCCAGCACUUACUCCGACUCCUGGCAGGUGGGCUGACUGCCCGAAGCUGCACGAGCCCCUGCACUGCGCCCCAGCUGCACCACCUGCAGCCUCCUGCCUGACCCUGGUCUGCACCCCAGUGAGCUGUGUGUCCAGCCCCUGCUGCCAGGCAGCCUGUGAGCCCAGCCCUGCCAAUCCAGGCUGCACCAGCUCCUGCACACCCUCGUGCUGCCAGCAGUCUAGCUGCCAACCCCGGCGCCACACCUCCUCCCCCUGCCAGCAGUCCUGCUGUGUGCCCAUCUGCUGCAAGCCUGUCUGCUGUAAGCCUGUCUGCUGCAAGCCCAUCUGCUGUUCCCCACAGCUGCCAGCCGAUUCCUCUUCAUGCUGCCAGCAGUCUAGCUGCCAGCCGGCUUGCUGCACCUCCUCCCCAUGCCAGCAGGCCUGCUGUGUGCCUCUCUGCUGCAAGUCUGUCUGCUGUGUGCCUGUGUGCUCUGGGGCUUCCACUUCAUGCUGCCAGCAGUCUAGCUGCCAACCAACUUGCUGCACCACCUCCUGCUGCAGACCCUCCUCCUCCGUGUCCCUCAUCUGCCGUCCCGUGUGCAGGUCCGCCUGCUGCGUGCCCGUCUCCUCCUGCCAGCCCAGCUGCUGCCGCCCAGCCUCCUGCGUGUCCCUCCUCUGCCGCCCUGUGUGCUCCCGCCCGGCCUGCUGAGCCCUCUUCUCAGGCGAGAAGUCCAGCUGCUGAGUGCUCAGUCCUCGCUCGUCUACUGACUAUGUCUUUGCUGCCAAGCAGGAUUCUCCAGUCUCAGGAUCCCCUGGAGUCCUCAGAAUCCACCACCUCCAUCAGUAACCACAUAGUUGCUGCCUGAAGGGGAUUUUGAGCACAUCACACUUCCCUCCUCCCUCUCUGGGAAAAGACAACCCACAAAUCCCUCAGCAGGUGGACUGUGGCCUUCUGGAACCCACUUCUCCAAAUGUGUUGUUUGCACCCAAUGAGACAAAGAAUUGCUCUAAUCAAAAAAUUCUUGAGUC